CCUACGGGAGGCAGCAGUGAGGAAUAUUGGUCAAUGGACGAGAGUCUGAACCAGCCAAGUAGCGUGAAGGAUGACUGCCCUAUGGGUUGUAAACUUCUUUUAUAUGGGAAUAAAAUGUUCCACGUGUGGGAUUUUGUAUGUACCAUAUGAAUAAGGAUCGGCUAACUCCGUGCCAGCAGCCGCGGUAAUACGGAUGAUCCGAGCGUUAUCCGGAUUUAUUGGGUUUAAUGGGGGCGUAGGUGGGUUGUUAAGUCAGUUGUGAAAGUUUGCGGCUCAACCGUAAAAUUGCAGUUGAAACUGGCAGUCUUGAGUACAGUAGAGGUGGGCGGAAUUCGUGGUGUAGCGGUGAAAUGCUUAGAUAGCACGAAGAACUCCGAUUGCGAAGGCAGUUCACUGGACUGCAACUGACACUGAGGCUCGAAAGUGUGGGUAUCAAACAGGAUUAGAUACCCCUGUAGUC
rnacentral:rRNA from 1 species